rnacentral:rRNA from 1 species
ACCGCAGAAAUGUGGGCGUUGCCCGAAAGGGAACCUAGACACAGGUGCUGCAUGGCUGUCGCCAGCUCGUGUCGUGAGAUGUUGGGUUAAGUCCCGCAACGAGCGCAACCCUUGCCAUUAGUUGCUACAUUCAGUUGGGCACUCUAAUGGGACCGCCGGUGACAAACCGGAGGAAGGUGGGGAUGACGUCAAGUCCUCAUGGCCCUUAUGGGUAGGGCUUCACACGUAAUACAAUGGUCGGUACAGAGGGCUGCCAACCCGCAAGGGGGAGCUAACCCCAGAAAGCCGAUCGUAGUCCGGAUUGUAGUCUGCAACUCGACUGCAUGAAGCCGGAAUCGCUAGUAAUCGCGGAUCAGCAUGUCGCGGUGAAUACGUUCCCGGGUCUUGUACA